CUCUCCGGCUGUAAUGCGCGCUCCCGACACAGGGGGAACAGAUUUUCACAGGGGAACAGAAUUGCGCACAAGACCUCUACCAAGAAGCAAGACGGAGCGUCCCUGUGGUCUUCCCUCUGAAGACAAAACGGCUGACUGAUGGAUCGGGUCUCACGUAAUUUUACUUUCUGGAGGAUCAGGUCCUUUCAGAUCUCAAACCUCUGAUCCGAUGGAGCUGCUGCAGGAACACAUUGAUCCUCUAACGGGGAUCCUCAGAUCCAGGCAUCGAUGUCUGGUGUCCUGCAACAUUUAGAUACGUCCUGGUCCAACACACCUGAAUUAAAUGACUGCUUAGGACAGUCAAGUUCUCCAGAGUUGUGCUAAUGACCUCUGACCUCAUGAUUUGACUCAGGUGCGUUAAAGAAGAGACAUCUAAAGGUUGGAGGACAUCAACCCUUCUGAACUGGAGUUAAAGCUCUGCUGUACAAUUUUCACUCAAUUGUAAUCACAUUUACUUGCAUACAGUGGAAACUUUACCUGUGUUGAGGUAUACGUGGAGUAUUCAUAGUGUCUUUACUUUAAAAUCUUUUUGGUUUCCAUUUGUUGAAAGUAAAUUAUAAACAUUUAGCCAUAGUUUUACCACUGCUGUAUGACAGAAAAAAAAGUUUGAUGACACAAAUAUAUGAUUUUAAUAGAGGCAUCAUUCGAUUUAUAAUGUAGAAAGAAGAAGAUGAGAAAAGUGUUUCCUGAAUUAACUUUAAUGUCACCUCACUGCACACAAAGGACAGCUUAAAUAUUUAAGAUAGCAACAAAUCUGUUGAAUCUUUAGCAAAAUAGGUUCAGAUUAACAUGGGUGGCUUCACAGCUACCUAAAGUUAACAAUGAAAUGUCUUAAAACUUACCUGGAUGUUCAAAUAUUUACUAUAGUCAAUUAACAAAUGAAAACACCAUAAAGCUGUGUAUUCAAAGGCGACCAAGGUCAGUCUCUACAGAUUAAGGAUAAACCAUAAUGUCUACCAACAGAGCACGUUAACUACUGUAGUUGUUUGAAAGGUGUCUUGGUCCAGUUGAUGGCUCAGUUUGAAGCUUGAGGUUUUGGUGUUGAACCUCCCAGAAUCUCAGCUGCUGCAGAUUGUCUGAAGAUGCAGAAAAAGUACAAAUAUAUAAUUAGUGUUAGAAAAAAAAUAUGUUGAUUUUUCUGAACAGCUGAUGCACUGACAAACCUGACUUUCAGAACGUUGCUGAACCUGAAAAUUACUUGAAACAUCACAAUUUAUGUAGAAUUUUUUCUUUUUAUGUUGAUCAAAUGUUUAUGCAUUAAAUGUUUUGCUGUGGAGGCUAUUUUUGCAGUGGUGCUUAAAUAAAUCCAUAAAAUGUU